rfam:Triticum aestivum genome assembly, contig: Triticum_aestivum_CS42_TGACv1_scaffold_212359_3AS
CAAAUACUCCCUCCGUCCGGAAAUACUUGUCAUCAAAAUGGAUAAAAGGAAAUGUAUCUGGAUGUAUUUUAGUUUUAGAUACAUCUCUUUUUGUCCAUUUUGAUGACAAGUAUUUUCGGACGGAGGGAGUAGAAA